ACUUUUAAGACAUGGCAUGGAAAAUUACAGAGAUCAUGUCGCGUUAUCAAAUACCUGCACUUACAUGGUCUAUAGCACUCAAUAGACUUAUAUAUUAUAGAUCCAUAUAUGGCAAAAAUAUAUUUAGGCAUAAUCUUCGAAACAUGAUAAUUAAUAGCCAGCAAGAAAACACCCAUUCAUGGUAUAAAACGACAUAGCAGCAUAUAUAAGCAGUGGUGGACUGAGUUACAUAAUGAAAUCAUGGCAUAGGUGGACCAACAAUGCGGGGAAGAGCUACUGGCGAUGGGAAAAUGGACUAUGCGUCAGGGUCCAUGCUGCGAUGAACUUUGUCGAUGAACUCUUUAGCCUUCCUGUCUAUAUUUGGAUCAGCAUACCAGCAAUGGUUCUGGUCCUCGUCGCUCGGUCGAACCUUUCUUGGAUGCCUCGCUCCAUCUUCAACAUCUUGUCUCCGAUAGCUCUUCUUCUUGAAGCCAAGAAAGCCGAGCAAACAUUUCUUCCCUCUUCCCAUCUCUCGCUUCCUUGCUACUCUCUCUCUUUCUAACACUACUCAGCCUUUAAGACCACACAAGGACAUCUAUUUGCUCGUAAGAGGGUCAAGAAGUAACCCAGCAUUUAUAGCAGAAGCCCUCCCCUUGGUCUAAGAACAAGGGAAUAUUUCACCAACAUUCCAAAGGGUGAAAAAUUAGAGACUCCUCUGACGGUGCAUCAUACCGUACGCGAAGAUUCCAGAGGGUGAAAAAUUAGAGAAUCUGCA
rnacentral:lncRNA from 1 species